GAUGAACGCUGGCGGCGUGCCUAAUAUAUGCAAGUCGAGCGAACGGACGAGAGGCUUGCUUCUCUGAUGUUAGCGGCGGACGGGUGAGUAACACGUGGAUAACCUACCUAUAAGACUGGGAUAACUUCGGGAAACCGGAGCUAAUACCGGAUAAUAUUUUGAACCGCAUGGUUCAAAAGUGAAAGACGGUCUUGCUGUCACUUAUAGAUGGAUCCGCGCUGCAUUAGCUAGUUGGUAAGGUAACGGCUUACCAAGGCAACGAUGCAUAGCCGACCUGAGAGGGUGAUCGGCCACACUGGAACUGAGACACGGUCCAGACUCCUACGGGAGGCAGCAGUAGGGAAUCUUCCGCAAUGGGCGAAAGCCUGACGGAGCAACGCCGCGUGAGUGAUGAAGGUCUUCGGAUCGUAAAACUCUGUUAUUAGGGAAGAACAUAUGUGUAAGUAACUGUGCACAUCUUGACGGUACCUAAUCAGAAAGCCACGGCUAACUACGUGCCAGCAGCCGCGGUAAUACGUAGGUGGCAAGCGUUAUCCGGAAUUAUUGGGCGUAAAGCGCGCGUAGGCGGUUUUUUAAGUCUGAUGUGAAAGCCCACGGCUCAACCGUGGAGGGUCAUUGGAAACUGGAAAACUUGAGUGCAGAAGAGGAAAGUGGAAUUCCAUGUGUAGCGGUGAAAUGCGCAGAGAUAUGGAGGAACACCAGUGGCGAAGGCGACUUUCUGGUCUGUAACUGACGCUGAUGUGCGAAAGCGUGGGGAUCAAACAGGAUUAGAUACCCUGGUAGUCCACGCCGUAAACGAUGAGUGCUAAGUGUUAGGGGGUUUCCGCCCCUUAGUGCUGCAGCUAACGCAUUAAGCACUCCGCCUGGGGAGUACGACCGCAAGGUUGAAACUCAAAGGAAUUGACGGGGACCCGCACAAGCGGUGGAGCAUGUGGUUUAAUUCGAAGCAGCGCGAAGAACCUUACCAAAUCUUGACAUCCUUUGACAACUCUAGAGAUAGAGCCUUCCCCUUCGGGGGACAAAGUGACAGGUGGUGCAUGGUUGUCGUCAGCUCGUGUCGUGAGAUGUUGGGUUAAGUCCCGCAACGAGCGCAACCCUUAAGCUUAGUUGCCAUCAUUAAGUUGGGCACUCUAAGUUGACUGCCGGUGACAAACCGGAGGAAGGUGGGGAUGACGUCAAAUCAUCAUGCCCCUUAUGAUUUGGGCUACACACGUGCUACAAUGGACAAUACAAAGGGCAGCGAAACCGCGAGGUCAAGCAAAUCCCAUAAAGUUGUUCUCAGUUCGGAUUGUAGUCUGCAACUCGACUACAUGAAGCUGGAAUCGCUAGUAAUCGUAGAUCAGCAUGCUACGGUGAAUACGUUCCCGGGUCU
rnacentral:rRNA from 1 species